ACACAGAGAAGUUAAGCGAUCUUCUCUACAUCAGUCAGCAAAAUUGGAAAUUGAAUUCAGGAAAGCUGACCUUCAUUCUCAUGGAGUAACUACUAAGAAGCCACACUGAAGCUUUUUGCAGAACUGGAAGAAAACAGGAGACAAGCAGAGAAUCCUGGAGGAUCAAUCCCCACUGCUCUCAGAAAAGAUGGUGAAGCUAACAAACUGGUCCCCGACUUACGACCAUUUGCAGUUACAACCGAAGCUAUUGUAAAUGGUAGACCCCGAGCUACGAACGCGAUCUGCACUUACGAACAAUGCGGUCGCAUGUAUCUCUAUGGAGUCCGACUUACGACAAACCGAGUUACGACCAAUUGCUUGGUCCGUAACCAGUUCAUAAGUCGGGAAGAGACUGUAGUUUCUAAACUCUUCCAUUCAGAGGCCCUGCCUCCUCAGUAUUGUAAAACAUAUGAUAUGCUAUG